GACGAACGCUGGCGGCGUGCUUAACACAUGCAAGUCGAACGGUAAGGCCCUUCGGGGUACACGAGUGGCGAACGGGUGAGUAACACGUGGGUGAUCUGCCCUGCACUUCGGGAUAAGCCUGGGAAACUGGGUCUAAUACCGGAUAGGACCACUGCCUGCAUGGGUGGUGGUGGAAAGCUUUUGCGGUGUGGGAUGGGCCCGCGGCCUAUCAGCUUGUUGGUGGGGUGAUGGCCUACCAAGGCGACGACGGGUAGCCAGCCUGAGAGGGUAACCGGCCACACUGGGACUGAGAUACGGCCCAGACUCCUACGGGAGGCAGCAGUGGGGAAUAUUGCACAAUGGGCGCAAGCCUGAUGCAGCGACGCCGCGUGAGGGAUGACGGCCUUCGGGUUGUAAACCUCUUUCAGCACCGACGAAGCGCAAGUGACGGUAGGUGCAGAAGAAGGACCGGCCAACUACGUGCCAGCAGCCGCCGUAA
rnacentral:rRNA from 1 species